UUAUGGAGUCCACCUCCUUCCUGCCUAUUCCAGACCACAUUUCCACUCCCGGAGAGAGAUGGGAGCUGCACCCGCCAGGCCCAGAGAUCAUCUUGAAGAAGGAGAACAAGGGGGCCGUGCAAAGAACUGGUGGAAGCAGAACCCCCAUCCUGGUCUGAACCACAGGACUCUGUACUUUCACAUAAGAAAGGGAGAGAGACACAGCAUGAACGGGGGAGGGGCAGAGAGAGAGGGACACACAGAAUCGGAAA